rnacentral:rRNA from 1 species
GGCCUUGACAUACUAAGAACUUUCCAGAGAUGGAUUGGUGCCUUCGGGAACUUAGAUACAGGUGCUGCAUGGCUGUCGUCAGCUCGUGUCGUGAGAUGUUGGGUUAAGUCCGCAACGAGCGCAACCCUUUUCCUUAUUUGCCAGCGGGUAAUGCCGGGAACUUUAAGGAUACUGCCAGUGACAAACUGGAGGAAGGCGGGGACGACGUCAAGUCAUCAUGGCCCUUACGGCCAGGGCUACACACGUGCUACAAUGGUCGGUACAAAGGGUUGCUACCUCGCGAGAGGAUGCUAAUCUCAAAAAGCCGAUCGUAGUCCGGAUCGCAGUCUGCAACUCGACUGCGUGAAGUCGGAAUCGCUAGUAAUCGCGGAUCAGAAUGCCGCGGUGAAUACGUUCCCGGGCCUUGUACACACCGCCCGUCACACCAUGGGAGUUUGUUGCACCAGGAGUAGGUAGUCUAACCGCAAGGAGGACGCUUACCACGGUGUGGCCGAUGACUGGGGUGAAGUCGUAACAAGGUAGGCGUAGAUGA